rnacentral:rRNA from 2 species
UACGUAGGGUGCAAGCGUUGUCCGGAAUUAUUGGGCGUAAAGAGCUCGUAGGCGGCGUGUCACGUCGGAUGUGAAAGCCCAUGGCUUAACUGUGGGUCUGCAUUCGAUACGGGCAGGCUGGAGUUCGGUAGGGGAGAUCGGAAUUCCUGGUGUAGCGGUGAAAUGCGCAGAUAUCAGGAGGAACACCGGUGGCGAAGGCGGAUCUCUGGGCCGAUACUGACGCUGAGGAGCGAAAGCAUGGGGAGCGAACAGG